rnacentral:rRNA from 1 species
UACGGAGGGGGCGAGCGUUGUCCGAAGUUACUGGGCGUAAAGCGCGCGUAGGCGGGUUGGCAAGUCCGCUGUGAAAGCCCGGUGCUUAACGCCGGAGGGUCGGUGGAUACUGCCAGUCUUGAAGGUGCUAGGGAGAGAUGGAAUUACCGGUGUAGUAGUGAAAUGCGUAGAUAUCGCAAGGAACACCAGUGGCGAAGGCGGCUUGCUAGCUUGUAACUGACGCUGAGGCGCGAAAGCUAGGGGAGCGAACGGG